CAGCUGGAGUUUCACUUCUUUAUAUUGAUGUUGAGCAAUACUGUCAAACCUGUGAUGUUUGUGCUUCUAGAAAGCCAAGUCGGACCACAAAUAGGGCACCAUUGGGAAAUCAAACCACGGGUGGGCCAAUGGAACGUGUGUCAAUGGAUAUACUUGGUCCAUUGCCAACGACUGAAAUUGGCAAUCGGCAUGUUCUAGUGCUGGUUGAUGAGUUCACAAAAUGGACCGAAGCUUUUCCAUUGCAAAGCCAAGAAGCGGAAAGGGUAGGAAAUGUUUUUCUUGACCAAUUCAUUUGUAGGUUCGGCACCCCGUUGGAAAUACAUACUGAUCAAGGUACACAUUUUGAGUCCACGUUUUUAAAGGACCUGUGUGAAUUAUUAAAAAUCAACAAAACUAGAACCACUAGUUUCAGACCCCAGACAAAUGGUACCGUCGAGAUAGCAACUCGGACGAUCACGAAGAUGCUUUCAGCAUACUGCAGUAAAAACCAAACUAGUUGGGACAGUUUACUCCCACAAGUAAUGGUGGCAUAUAGGGCAACGCCACAUUCUACGACUUCGCUGUCACCAAAUGUAAUGGUGUUCGGGAGAAAUGUUGCUCUUCCAUGUGAACUGGAAACUGGAGUAGCUGAGAAGAGUGCUCAAACCAUAGAGGAAUAUUCGCUUAUACAGCGUAUGAACAUUGAAAAAGCGCAUGACAUAGCUCGGGAACACUUGAAAAAAACAUUCAACAUACCGAAAGAAGUAUUAUGACCGAAAGGCUCAAUUCAGGGACCUACCAGAGAAAUCAGCAGUGUGGAUGCACGACCCGACAAGUAGAGUUGGCGUUUGUAGCAAAUUAAAUAGUAGAUGGAUUGGGCCAUUUAUGAUUGAGAAGCGCAUUGAUGACAUGGUUUACCUGGUUCGCACUUCUCCAAACAAACAACCAAAAUCUGUGCACAUUGAUCGGCUUUUGCCUUAUCGUGACUUCAAGAAACCAAAGUGGAUGGUUUAAUACAUAUGCAUCGAGCCAUGAGAAAACCAGCACAAAUGACAUCGACGACGUCAUUGGCAAAUCGUCAUUUUCAUUACGUCAUAAUUUUCUGCGAAAAAUUGAUUUGCAUUUGUGCGUGAGAUAUUUGUGUACAUGUGUGUUUGAUUUCGUUUGAAAGUUAAAAACUUAUGGAAUGGAUGCCGAACUUGAGGUCACGCACGUUGUCACGUAGACAGCGGGUUUGCUGUGUUAAAAAGGCCUACAGACGAAGCGACGUAGAGACGAGUUAAAAUUUACAAAUAAAAAAUAAUUAUUUCGUACAUAAUACUGUAUAGACUUUUAGUAAUUUUGAUGAAAGAACUUACCGGUAGUUUUUUCCUUGGUUCUCGACGUAUCUGGAAAUUAAAUUAAACAAAUUUUUAUCUAUUACGAAAAAAAGGCAAUAGCUUCCCCUCAUUGGACCCCUACACAUUGCACCAACAUGGUGUCUCUAUGGAAUCGCUCAUUAAUAACACGGGUAAAUUAUGUGAAGAAUAAAAUACACAUAUUCAUUUGAAUAGCAUUGAACUGAUUAAACCGCAUUUUCAAACAUAUGUGUGCAUCACACGUAUAAGUGGCGAAUAUUUAUGCAUCUUUGAUAUAAUUAUAACCAAGGAACAUUUUUUUUCACAAUGCACAUGUCAAAAGCAUUAACAUUGAGUUCACCCAAACAUUUUUGGAACAGUCGUUGUGUUCGUCAACGUCAUUUAGACUGUGGAUGUCGAAGUGGACAGUCGUAUUUUGUUGCUUGAAAUUUAAAGCAUGGAGUUUUUAAGUGUUUGUACUUACUGUCUUGAACGGUUUCCGCCACACCGAAGUAAUAAUAUCCAGCAUGGGCAGACUCAGGAAACUCGGCGAUGGAGGAGUAGCCGCUACAACGAUUUGGAUUUAUUAGAAACGCGGGAAUGUGUUAGGAGUGUAACUGAUAUUGUUUCGAAAAUGAUUGGAAAGGAUCUAAUUUAUCAACGACAAUGGAUAAUGAAUAGCACAAGUAUCGAAUUUGAACAAACCGAUGAGGGUAUCUGCGUCGUCCACGAUGCCAUGGAACGAGGCCGAGUUGGUGAAGAGACUCGCCCCCGCCUGCGAGGUUUGUGACAUCUCUGGCAAUGGCCGUCCUCCCCCCGUAGCGGCAGCAUGGUUCCGCUCCUUUGAAACCUCUGAUUUUGCGUGUUUUGUCUAAAAUAAAUAUAACAUAAAUGGAUACAUUUCAUUUCGCCUUUUGAAAUUCUUCGAUAUUCUGGCAUUGAUAGGUGAAUUGUAGAUCUAUGAAUUGAAAAAAAAACGUGUUAUUACUAAGGCAGUCGAGGGUUCGAGCCCACCACCGCGAAAUAUAUUCCUAAGUGCUUAAUUUUGUCGUACGUUAAAUCAUUUUCACUCGUUAAAUGGAAAUUGUCUAUUUUAUAUAAAUUUCUAAUGAAAGACAUACUAAUUCUAAAUUUACCAUGUUUCGCCACUUUUCUUUGACUUGUUGAAUGGUCCUGGGGCCAUUUCCACAGGCAUUUACGUUUUCUAAAAGUUAAUUCCAAAUGUCUCUCACUCGAGCAACCAUGCCCGGACCGCCCGAGCGGCAUGGUCCCGUCACAUGAACGACGCAAGCCGGGUACCACUCUGCAGGGGGGCGUGGCACCGGAUGUCACUGGCACUACACUUUGUUCAGGUUUAUCAUACAAUUUGACCACAUAUAGCACAGGAACUGCCAUGAGCCCACUAAAUGGUGUAUAUAUAUAUAGGCACCAUAUCCAUGGACAAUGAAACCCACGAGAUUAACCUUCACCUUCAAGAGGUUAUGCAAUCAGUGCAUCCUUCAGAUAAUGUGGAAGGAUUGUCUUGUCCUGGCCCAUGCCAUCCAUAAUGAUUGACAGGUAUCUGCAAGGGCUGAGGUUUGCCGUCUGAGCAUGCUUGUAAUACUUUUGGCGUUCUUGGCUAAAAGAACAAAAAUUACAUAGCGUUUGCUUGUCAAAUUUCAAGGCUAGUCCAACAUAUAUUUAACGUAUCUCCGCAUGUUUCCAGAAUUCCGGUUCAGUGCGAAAGAGAGGUAAAACAUUAUAUCAGUUUCACAUUAAUAUUAAGCUUUGUUAAAACUUAAAUAGUACAUUUCAAAUUAAAAAUUUUGUACAAAUCACAACUAAUGUUUUCUUGGCAAAGUUUUCUUUUUUACUGUUAAAUUACCCUGAUUAAACACUGCUGAAUUACAAUGCUACAUUUUGUAAAUACAUUUUGAUUCCCCCAGGGGAUUUUUGCAUUGACACCAUGCAUCCACUUCAAACACUGAGUGGAAACCAUAUGGUUGCUACAAUGAAGGAUCUGCUUAGAGAAGAAGCUGACAAUCGAUAUUGUUUAUUGAAAGGAAAUGGCAUGUUACUAUACUGUUACCAUUCAGAGGAGGGAUACCUUUUACUCAUUCAUUAUUUCAAGUGAUAUUUUAUUCAUCUUAGAGCCGGACCAUUAUGCAGGAUGGGAAGAGACGGGGUUUUGUGGAGAGGUCUGGGAAGGCAGCUCUUCCCAAAAAACUGCAGUUGACAGUUUUGGAGGAGAAGUUAGUCAUAUUGUAAACAUUACCAAUUGCAAAUAUAAAUAUGAUGCAGAUCAAGCAUUUGUCCGUGGUUCAUAUUAUUAUUUUAAUUUUGCAAAAACAACCUUUUUCAGAUUGAUGUAUAGUUGUUCACUUUGUCCAGCUCUUGUCCUUAGUGCCCAAAACAAGACUGGUAGGUGUGCAAGGUGGAGGGGCCGAUACUGGUCUACUCAAGAGACCCAUGCACGAAAAUAACGGGAACAAGGAGAGGGAACCUUUCAAAACCUCCUACCGCCCCAAAAGGCAACAUAAGGAUGAGCAAAGACAACUGCGCGUUUGAAGUGCGCGUGGAGUUUAAGAAGAAGACGCUUUCGCCCACAUUGAAAGACAAUCGGCUCCUUGAGGAAGAAAUACGCCAGACGUUUGCCUUCAUUGAGGCAAGGACGAGGGCAAAAACACGCACCAGGAAGAUAGCCGCUAAACGCGCUGCUAGACUGACUUCCCAAAAAUAAUCGGAAGGAGAGUCCGAGAACCGUAAAAUACCUCACAUACAAAUUGUGGACGAUAGAUGCAUCGGAGGCAUCGAUGACGGCCAUUCAGUGGAUAGAGUGGGCGGUCGAGAAAGGCAUAAGAGCAAAUACACAGGGAGUGUAUAUCUGGAGCGAGCCAGAGGACGACGGGGUUGAGACGCCGGCCAUCAUGGAGGAGACGCCCGCCAUGCAGGCCGCCAUUUCACCGGCACCCACGUCUGUCAGGUUAAGGUUGUAAGGUUCGUCUAGGCCGUCAUCCAGGGCGUCCGACCUGUCCAAUUCGUCCAGGUCGUCCGACCUGUCCAGAUCGUCCAGGCCGUCUAGGUCGUCGAGAUCGUCCCGAGCGCCCAGGUCGUCGAGUUCGUCAAUGUCGUCCAGAGCGUCUACGUCGUCCAGCUCCCUGUCGAGGUCGUCCAGUUCGGACUCGGAAUACGUCCCGUUUGAGGCCGUCACCUCCGCCUCCUCCGACGAGGAUGUCCCUCUGGUGGCUCCGCCGGUCCCUGUGGUGGCUCGAGUGGUCCCUCUGGUGGCUUUGCCAUCACCCAGGCCUGAGAGGCGAAUGAGAAAUAUGAUUACGGAGGCGGACGAACUUGCCAUAAACAUGGUAUUCGCAGAGGACAUUGUCUCGACGUCCUUGUCAGGCAAGAGUAUAGGCAUCGAAGUCGUGAGACGAAACUACAACCGGGCGACCAAGGGCCGUUUGGGCUUUGAGCAGGUUCGAGCAAAGAUCCGAAACCUGGCCAAGGCUCGUGCAGCUCGCCUGGCGGCAGGCCCUAUGUAGAGCCCUAGUCCGGCUGAUAUUUCUUAUAUGUUUUUUUAUAUGCUUUUAUGUCUUUGUUUAACUGAAUAUGUAUUAGUAUACAUUGUAAGUACUGGUUCAACCCAGGAAAAUACUUGAUUAUCUGUAAAUGUUUUUAUAUGCUUUUAUGUCUUUAUUUAAAUGAAUAUGUAUUAGUAUACAUUGUAAGUACUGGUUCAACCCAGGAAAAUACUUGAUUAUUUGUAAAUGUUUUUAUAUGCUUCUAUGUCUUUAUUUAAAUGAAUAUGUAUUAGUAUACAUUGUAAGGACUGGUUCAACCCAGGAAAAUACUUGAUUAUUUGUUAAUGUUUUUAUGUCUUUAUUUUAAUGAAUAUAUAUUAGUAUGCAUUGUAAGUACUGGUUCUACCCAGGAACAUACUUGAUUAUUUGUUAAGGUUUGUUAUAUAUGAUUUUUAUAUCUUUGUUUAAAUGAAUAUGUAUUAGUAUACAUUGUAGGUACUGAUUCAACCCAGGAAAAUGCGUGAUUUUUUGUUUCCUUUUUAUACAUGAUCAUUGAUAAGUACUGGUUAUAUUUACUACCCAGGAUUUUUGUCUGAAAAUAA